ACUGAACGCUGGCGGCAGGCUUAACACAUGCAAGUCGAACGAGUGGCGGACGGGUGAGUAAUGUCUGGGAAACGGCCUGAUGGAGGGGGAUAACCAUUGGAAACGGUAGUUAAUACCGCAUACCAACGGACGCGCCCAGAGGGGAUUGGCUAGUAGGUGGGGUAACGGCGCACCUAGGCGACGAUCCCUAGCUGGUCUGAGUAGAUGACGAGCCACCAUGGAACUGAGACACGAUCCAACCUCCUACGGCAGGCAGCAGUGUCGAAUAUUGGACAGUGGGCGCAAGCCUGAUGCCUCCAUGCGGCGUGUAUGAAGCAGGCCUUCGGGUUGUAAAGUACUUUCAGCAGGGAGGCGUUACCCGCAGAAGAAGCACCGGCUAACUCCGUGCCAGCAGCCGCGGUAAUUC
rnacentral:rRNA from 1 species